UGGGGAAUUUUGGACAAUGGGCGAAAGCCUGAUCCAGCAAUGCCGCGUGUGUGAAGAAGGCCUUCGGGUUGUAAAGCACUUUUGUCCGGAAAGAAAUCCUUGGCUCUAAUACAGUCGGGGGAUGACGGUACCGGAAGAAUAAGCACCGGCUAACUACGUGCCAGCAGCCGCGGUAAUACGUAGGGUGCAAGCGUUAAUCGGAAUUACUGGGCGUAAAGCGUGCGCAGGCGGUUUGCUAAGACCGAUGUGAAAUCCCCGGGCUCAACCUGGGAACUGCAUUGGUGACUGGCAGCUCAGAGUAUGGCAGAGGGGGGUAGAAUUCCACGUGUAGCAGUGAAAUGCGUAGAGAUGGUGGAGGAAUACCGAUGGCGAAGGCAGCCCCCUGGGCCAAUACUGACGCUCAUGCACGAAAGCGUGGGGAGCAAACAGGAUUAGAUACCCUGGUAGUCCACGCCCUAAACGAUGUCAACUAGUUGUUGGGGAUUCAUUUCUAGUAACGUAGCUAACGCGUGAAGUUGACCGCCUGGGGAGUACGGUCGCAAGAUUAAAACU
rnacentral:rRNA from 1 species